rnacentral:pre_miRNA from 1 species
AGAAAUUAAGAUGUGAGAGACAGGGAACAGGCUGAGCAUGGAUGGAUCUGUCAACAGGUUUCUGUUGUUGCUCCGCCCAUGCACUGCCUCUUCCCUGGCUCUCCCUCCAUUCUUAAUA